rnacentral:rRNA from 1 species
GCAUCUUCAACGUCUGGAAAGAACUUCGGUCAGGGAUGAGCUCGCGGCCUAUCAGCUAGUUGGUGAGGUAAUGGCUCACCAAGGCGUCGACGGGUAGCCGGCCUGAGAGGGUGACCGGCCACACUGGGACUGAGACACGGCCCAGACUCCUACGGGAGGCAGCAGUGGGGAAUAUUGCACAAUGGGCGCAAGCCUGAUGCAGCAACGCCGCGUGAGGGACGACGGCCUUCGGGUUGUAAACCUCUUUUAGCAAGGAAGAAGCGAAAGUGACGGUACUUGCAGAAAAAGCACCGGCUAACUACGUGCCAGCAGCCGCGGUAAUACGUAGGGUGCAAGCGUUAUCCGGAAUUAUUGGGCGUAAAGAGCUCGUAGGCGGUUUGUCGCGUCUGCUGUGAAAUCUGGGGGCUCAACCCCCAGCCUGCAGUGGGUACGGGCAGACUAGAGUGCGGUAGGGGAGAUUGGAAUUCCUGGUGUAGCGGUGGAAUGCGCAGAUAUCAGGAGGAACACCGAUGGCGAAGGCAGAUCUCUGGGCCGUAACUGACGCUGAGGAGCGAAAGGGUGGGGAGCAAACAGGCUUAGAUACCCUGGUAGUCCACCCCGUAAACGUUGGGAACUAGUUGUGGGGUCCAUUCCACGGAUUCCGUGACGCAGCU